rnacentral:rRNA from 2 species
AUUCCCCUAGUAACUGCGAGUGAAGCGGGAAAAGCUCAAAUUUAAAAUCUGGCGGUCUUUGGCCGUCCGAGUUGUAGUCUGGAGAAGCGUCUUCCGCGCUGGACCGUGUAUAAGUCUCUUGGAACAGAGCGUCAUAGAGGGUGAGAAUCCCGUCUUUGACACGGACUACCAGUGCUUUGUGAUGCGCUCUCAAAGAGUCGAGUUGUUUGGGAAUGCAGCUCAAAAUGGGUGGUGAAUUCCAUCUAAAGCUAAAUAUUGGCGAGAGACCGAUAGCGAACAAGUACCGUGAGGGAAAGAUGAAAAGCACUUUGGAAAGAGAGUUAAACAGUACGUGAAAUUGCUGAAAGGGAAACGCUUGAAGUCAGUCGCGUUGUCCGGGACUCAGCCUUGCUUCGGCUUGGUGCACUUUCCGGAUGACGGGCCAGCAUCGAUUUUGACCGCCGGAAAAGGGCUGGAGGAAUGUGGCACCUUCGGGUGUGUUAUAGCCUCCAGUCGCAUACGGCGGUUGGGAUCGAGGAACGCAGCACGCCUUAUGGCGGGGGGUUUACCCUACCUUCGUGCUUAGGAUGCUGGCAUAAUGGCUUUAAACGACCCGUCUUGAAACACGGACCAAGGAGUCUAACAUGCCUGCGAGUGUUUGGGUGGAAAACCCGAGCGCGUAAUGAAAGUGAAAGUUGAGACCUCUGUCGUGGAGGGCAUCGACGCCCGGACCUGACGUUCUCUGACGGAUCCGCGGUAGAGCAUGUAUGUUGGGACCCGAAAGAUGGUGAACUAUGCCUGAAUAGGGUGAAGCCAGAGGAAACUCUGGUGGAGGCUCGUAGCGAUUCUGACGUGCAAAUCGAUCGUCAAAUUUGGGUAUAGGGGCGAAAGACUAAUCGAACC